UGCCUUAAUCAUCAUUCUAAUAAAAAAGAAAAAAAGGCAUUAUCAUUAAGAUAUUGACUAAACUUUAGAAAAAAGGGAUAUAUUAAAGGGAUGGUUGGAGUUGGAAAUUGUGUGACCGACUGAAAUCCUAAGAUUCAGUAAAUCUUUCUAAAAAGUAAAGUAUGUAAUAUUUGACUUAAACAAAAAAUUAAAUAUAAACAUUGAAAUAUAAUAAUAGAAAAAAAUAGGAGGAAAAAUACGAACUUUCAACCAAA
rnacentral:lncRNA from 1 species